rnacentral:rRNA from 1 species
UUGAAGAGUUUGAUCAUGGCUCAGAUUGAACGCUGGCGGCAGGCCUAACACAUGCAAGUCGAGCGGUAGCACAGAGAGCUUGCUCUCGGGUGACGAGCGGCGGACGGGUGAGUAAUGUCUGGGAAACUGCCUGAUGGAGGGGGAUAACUACUGGAAACGGUAGCUAAUACCGCAUAACGUCGCAAGACCAAAGUGGGGGACCUUCGGGCCUCAUGCCAUCAGAUGUGCCCAGAUGGGAUUAGCUGGUAGGUGGGGUAACGGCUCACCUAGGCGACGAUCCCUAGCUGGUCUGAGAGGAUGACCAGCCACACUGGAACUGAGACACGGUCCAGACUCCUACGGGAGGCAGCAGUGGGGAAUAUUGCACAAUGGGCGCAAGCCUGAUGCAGCCAUGCCGCGUGUGUGAAGAAGGCCUUCGGGUUGUAAAGCACUUUCAGCGGGGAGGAAGGCGAUAAGGUUAAUAACCUUGUCGAUUGACGUUACCCGCAGAAGAAGCACCGGCUAACUCCGUGCCAGCAGCCGCGGUAAUACGGAGGGUGCAAGCGUUAAUCGGAAUUACUGGGCGUAAAGCGCACGCAGGCGGUCUGUCAAGUCGGAUGUGAAAUCCCCGGGCUCAACCUGGGAACUGCAUUCGAAACUGGCAGGCUAGAGUCUUGUAGAGGGGGGUAGAAUUCCAGGUGUAGCGGUGAAAUGCGUAGAGAUCUGGAGGAAUACCGGUGGCGAAGGCGGCCCCCUGGACAAAGACUGACGCUCAGGUGCGAAAGCGUGGGGAGCAAACAGGAUUAGAUACCCUGGUAGUCCACGCUGUAAACGAUGUCGAUUUGGAGGUUGUGCCCUUGAGGCGUGGCUUCCGGAGCUAACGCGUUAAAUCGACCGCCUGGGGAGUACGGCCGCAAGGUUAAAACUCAAAUGAAUUGACGGGGGCCCGCACAAGCGGUGGAGCAUGUGGUUUAAUUCGAUGCAACGCGAAGAACCUUACCUGGUCUUGACAUCCACAGAACUUUCCAGAGAUGGAUUGGUGCCUUCGGGAACUGUGAGACAGGUGCUGCAUGGCUGUCGUCAGCUCGUGUUGUGAAAUGUUGGGUUAAGUCCCGCAACGAGCGCAACCCUUAUCCUUUGUUGCCAGCGGUUAGGCCGGGAACUCAAAGGAGACUGCCAGUGAUAAACUGGAGGAAGGUGGGGAUGACGUCAAGUCAUCAUGGCCCUUACGACCAGGGCUACACACGUGCUACAAUGGCAUAUACAAAGAGAAGCGACCUCGCGAGAGCAAGCGGACCUCAUAAAGUAUGUCGUAGUCCGGAUUGGAGUCUGCAACUCGACUCCAUGAAGUCGGAAUCGCUAGUAAUCGUAGAUCAGAAUGCUACGGUGAAUACGUUCCCGGGCCUUGUACACACCGCCCGUCACACCAUGGGAGUGGGUUGCAAAAGAAGUAGGUAGCUUAACCUUCGGGAGGGCGCUUACCACUUUGUGAUUCAUGACUGGGGUGAAGUCGUAACAAGGUAACCGUAGGGGAACCUGCGGUUGGAUCACCUCCUU